rnacentral:rRNA from 1 species
GUGAAUGAGAACUCACAGGGAUUCCCUUAGUAAUGGCGAAUGCAUAGGGACAGGCUUAGUGUGGAACUUUAGGCCACCGGCCCUAAAUUGUAGCCUCAGGAUGUGCAACCAGCGAAGGUGCAGCUGUAGGCCCUUGGAAAAGAGCGUCGGUGAGGGUGAAGACCCUCUAUGUUCCUGCUGCCUUCGGUGCACAGUUCGCAAUCUAAGAGUCGCAUUCCUUGGGAAUGGUGUGCAAAGUUGGUGGCAAUUUUCACUAAAAGCUGAACGUGCGCUUAAGACCGAUAGUACACAAGUACCUUGAGGGAAAGGUGAAACAGGACUUUGAAAAGAUAGAUAAGACUCCAUGAGCAUGCUGAUAAGGAAGUGGAUGAGCUCAGCGACGCUUGGCGAGGUUUUUGCGUGGAGAUGUGCUGGCCUGCUGCUUAUUUGGAAGAAUUGCAAUAAGCCCUGAGCGAAAUACUUGUAGCGUGUCUUGCCAUGACGAUCAGUUUGAACUCGCAGCCCGAGGUUGUCGGCGGGAAGCUGGAAAAGUGCUUUUUGGGCAUGUAAAUAUGUCCGCCUCUAUGUGUGUUUGUGUGCUCUUGGUGGCUCGAUGGCUUGUCCAUCCCGUCUUGAAACACGGAUCAAGGAGUCUGACAUGUGAGCGAGCUCAUGGGUGGUAAAAGCUUGUGAGCAUUGUGAAAAUGUGGGUUGGGAUUUGUGCACCAGCAACUGGCGAUUUGACUGAUAGGUCUGAAUGUGAGUGCAUAUGCUAGGACCCGAAAGAUGGUGAACUAUGCCUGUGGAAAGCAAAGUCAGGGGAAACUUUGAUGGAGGCGCGUAGCGGUAUUGACGUGCAAAUUGUUCGUUGGACAUGGGGAUAGGGGUGAAAGACUAAUCGAACCAUCUAGUAGCUGGUUCUCUCCAAAGUUUCCCUCAGGAUAGCUGGACUUGAACAGUUGUGUCAGGUAAAGCAAAUGAGUCGAGGAAUCGGGGGCUUGUUGCCCUCGACCUAUUAUCAAACUCUGAAUCGGCGCGGCUGAAGUGUUGUCUGUGUAAACGCUUAGGGAAAACGAUGAGCUCAAGUGGGCCAUUUUUGGUAAGCAGAACUGGCGAUGAGGGAUGAACCUAACGUUGGAGUGAGGAGCCGAAGCUCUUGCUCAUGGGAUACCAUAAAGGGUGUUGGUUCAUUUUGACAGCAGGACGGUGGUCAUGGAAGUUGAAAGCCGCUGAGGA